rnacentral:pre_miRNA from 1 species
UUUGGGGGGGGGGUGGUUCCCUCAGCCUGGAUUGUGAGAGAGUGCAGGCGAGGCUGAGGGACUCCCUGGUGCACA